CAGAAAGAUAUAGGCAUAAGAAUGUUCAUCUUAAAUAGUAAACUACCAAGCUAUUUAAAAUAUUGAAAAAGAAUAUUUAAGGAACUUCAAGAUGGCUGACUAGCAUUUCAUGCUUGCCUCCUCCAUUGAGAAGAACCAAAAUGGUAUACAGACAAUCACACUUCAAAUACAUCAUCCAAGAGAACACUGGUAGAAAUAAUAUCAAGCAUCUUCUAUGACCACAAUAUAAUAAAACUAGAAAUCAAUGAGAGGAAUUUUAGAAGCCAUACAAAUACAUGGAAAUUAAAUAAUAUGUUCCAGGAUGACCUGGCAGUCAAUGAAGAAAUUAAGAAGAAAAUUGAAAAAUUUUUUGAAACAAAUGAUAAUGGAAACAAAACAUACAAAACUAUGGGAUACAG
rnacentral:lncRNA from 1 species